GCUCCAAAAGCGUAUAUUAAAGUUGUUGCGGUUAAAAAGCUCGUAGUUGGACGUUUAUGUUGCUUGUGUAAGCCUCACGAGGCCUAACCAGAGCAGCUUUCUUUUUGAAAUCGUGUUUGCAUUUGAUUAUGCUUCAUAAUUUCAAAAUCAUUUACUUUGAGGAAAUUAAAGUGUUUCAAGCAGGCAACUGCCUUGAAUAC
rnacentral:rRNA from 1 species